GGGCAAUCUGCCCUGCACUCUGGGACAAGCCCUGGAAACGGGGUCUAAUACCGGAUACUGACCUGCCAAGGCAUCUUGGCGGGUCGAAAGCUCCGGCGGUGCAGGAUGAGCCCGCGGCCUAUCAGCUUGUUGGUGAGGUAAUGGCUCACCAAGGCGACGACGGGUAGCCGGCCUGAGAGGGCGACCGGCCACACUGGGACUGAGACACGGCCCAGACUCCUACGGGAGGCAGCAGUGGGGAAUAUUGCACAAUGGGCGAAAGCCUGAUGCAGCGACGCCGCGUGAGGGAUGACGGCCUUCGGGUUGUAAACCUCUUUCAGCAGGGAAGAAGCGAAAGUGACGGUACCUGCAGAAGAAGCGCCGGCUAACUACGUGCCAGCAGCCGCGGUAAUACGUAGGGCGCAAGCGUUGUCCGGAAUUAUUGGGCGUAAAGAGCUCGUAGGCGGCUUGUCGCGUCGGUUGUGAAAGCCCGGGGCUUAACCCCGGGUCUGCAGUCGAUACGGGCAGGCUAGAGUUCGGUAGGGGAGAUCGGAAUUCCUGGUGUAGCGGUGAAAUGCGCAGAUAUCAGGAGGAACACCGGUGGCGAAGG
rnacentral:rRNA from 1 species